rnacentral:rRNA from 1 species
GUCACGCCAGUGGCAUUGCCGGGUAGCUACGUUCGGAAGCGAUAACCGCUGAAAGCAUCUAAGCGGGAAGCGCGCCUCAAGAUGAGAUCUCCCGGGGCACAAGCCCCCUAAAGGAACCAUCAAGACUAGGUGGUUGAUAGGCAGGGUGUGUAAGCACAGUAAUGUGUUGAGCUUACCUGUACUAAUGAUCCGUGUGGCUUGACCAU